UACGUAGGUGGCAAGCGUUGUCCGGAUUUACUGGGCGUAAAGAGCGCGCAGGCGGUCGUUCAAGUCGCGUGUGAAAGCCCCCCGGCUCAACUGGGGAGGGUCACGCGAUACUGAUCGACUCGAAGGCAGGAGAGGGAAGUGGAAUUCCCGGUGUAGUGGUGAAAUGCGUAGAUAUCGGGAGGAACACCUGUGGUGCAGACGGCUUACUGGACCGUAACUGACGCUGAGGCACGAAAGCGUGGGUAGCAAACAGG
rnacentral:rRNA from 1 species